rnacentral:rRNA from 1 species
CCUACGGGUGGCAGCAGUGAGGAAUAUUGGUCAAUGGACGAGAGUCUGAACCAGCCAAGUAGCGUGAAGGAUGACUGCCCUAUGGGUUGUAAACUUCUUUUAUAUGGGAAUAAAAUGUUCCACGUGUGGGAUUUUGUAUGUACCAUAUGAAUAAGGAUCGGCUAACUCCGUGCCAGCAGCCGCGGUAAUACGGAGGAUCCGAGCGUUAUCCGGAUUUAUUGGGUUUAAAGGGAGCGUAGGUGGAUGUUUAAGUCAGUUGUGAAAGUUUGUGGCUCAACCGUAAAAUUGCAGUUGAAACUGGCAGUCUUGAGUACAGUAGAGGUAGGCGGAAUGCGUGGUGUAGCGGUGAAAUGCUUAGAUAUCACGAAGAACUCCGAUUGCGAAGGCAGCUUACUGGACUGCAACUGACGCUGAGGCUCGAAAGUGUGGGUAUCAAACAGGAUUAGAUACCCCUGUAGUC